rnacentral:rRNA from 1 species
ACAUGCCUACAACAUAUCAUUAAUGCAUCGGAUCCCAUUAGAACUCCACAGUUAAGCACACUCAACCUAGAGUAGUAUUGGGAUGUGUGAUUGCCCAGGAAUUCCUAGUGUUUUACAUGCC